rnacentral:tRNA from 1 species
GAGGUUAUAGCUCAGUGGUAGAGUGUGUGCCUAGCACGCAUGAGGUCCUGGCUUCAAUCCCCGGUACCUCCA